rnacentral:rRNA from 1 species
GUUAUCGUUUAUUUGAUAGUACCUUACUACUUGGAUAACCGUGGUAAUUCUAGAGCUAAUACAUGCUAAAAACCCUGACUUCGGAAAGGGUGUAUUUAUUAGAUAAAAAACCAAUGCCCUCCGGGGCUCUUUGGUGAUUCAUGAUAACUUAACGGAUCGCAUGGCCUUGCGCCGGCGACGGUUCAUUCAAAUUUCUGCCCUAUCAACUUUCGAUGGUAAGGUAUUGGCUUACCAUGGUUUCAACGGGUAACGGGGAAUUAGGGUUCGAUUCCGGAGAGGGAGCCUGAGAAACGGCUACCACAUCCAAGGAAGGCAGCAGGCGCGCAAAUUACCCAAUCCCGACACGGGGAGGUAGUGACAAUAAAUACUGAUACAGGGCUCUUUUGGGUCUUGUAAUCGGAAUGAGUACAAUUUAAACCUCUUAACGAGGAACAAUUGGAGGGCAAGUCUGGUGCCAGCAGCCGCGGUAAUUCCAGCUCCAAUAGCGUAUAUUAAAGUUGUUGCAGUUAAAAAGCUCGUAGUUGAAUCUUGGGCCUGGCUGGCCGGUCCGCCUCACCGCGUGUACUGGUCUGGCCGGGCCUUUCCUUCUGGAGAACCUCAUGCCCUUCAUUGGGUGUGUUGGGGAACCAGGACUUUUACUUUGAAAAAAUUAGAGUGUUCAAAGCAGGCCUUUGCUCGAAUACGUUAGCAUGGAAUAAUAGAAUAGGACGUGCGGUCCUAUUUUGUUGGUUUCUAGGACCGCCGUAAUGAUUAAUAGGGAUAGUCGGGGGCAUCAGUAUUCAAUUGUCAGAGGUGAAAUUCUUGGAUUUAUUGAAGACUAACUACUGCGAAAGCAUUUGCCAAGGAUGUUUUCAUUAAUCAGUGAACGAAAGUUAGGGGAUCGAAGACGAUCAGAUACCGUCGUAGUCUUAACCGUAAACUAUGCCGACUAGGGAUCGGGCGA